rnacentral:rRNA from 1 species
AGUGAACGCUGGCGGCAGGCCUAAUACAUGCAAGUCGAACGGCAGCACAGCAGAGCUUGCUCUGUGGGUGGCGAGUGGCGGACGGGUGAGGAAUACAUGGGAAUCUGCCCAGUCGUGGGGGAUAACGUAUGGAAACGUACGCUAAUACCGCAUGCGCCCUACGGGGGAAAGUCGGGGACCGCAAGGCCUGACGCGAUUGGAUGAGCCCAUGUUCGAUUAGCUAGUUGGCGGGGUAAAGGCCCACCAAGGCGACGAUCGAUAGCUGGUCUGAGAGGAUGAUCAGCCACACUGGAACUGAGACACGGUCCAGACUCCUACGGGAGGCAGCAGUAGGGAAUAUUGGACAAUGGGGGCGAACCCUGAUCCAGCCAUGCCGCGUGAGUGAAGAAGGCCCUCGGGUUGUAAAGCUCUUUUGUCCGGAAAGAAAGCAAUCGGUUAAUACCCGGUUGUUCUGACGGUACCGGAAGAUAAGCACCGGCUAACUUCGUGCCAGC